UCGGCUUAGAGUUUGAUCAUGGCUCAGAUUGAACGCUGGCGGCAUGCUUUACACAUGCAAGUCGAACGGGGUAGGUGCUUGCACUUACCUAGUGGCGAACGGGUGAGUAAUACAUCGGAACGUACCCUAGUGUGGGGGAUAACUAAUCGAAAGAUUGGCUAAUACCGCAUACGCUCUACGGGGGAAAGCAGUUCGUUGCGCACAAGGAUCGGCCGAUGUCAGAUUAGGUAGUUGGUGGGGUAAGAGCCUACCAAGCCUGCGAUCUGUAGCUGGUUUGAGAGGAUGACCAGCCACACUGGGACUGAGACACGGCCCAGACUCCUACGGGAGGCAGCAGUGGGGAAUUUUGGACAAUGGGGGCAACCCUGAUCCAGCGAUGCCGCGUGCAGGAAGAAGGCCUUCGGGUUGUAAACUGCUUUUGUCAGGGAAGAAAUCCCUAGUUAAUACUGGGGGAUGACGGUACCUGAAGAAUAAGCACCGGCUAACUACGUGCCAGCAGCCGCGGUAAUACGUAGGGUGCAAGCGUUAAUCGGAAUUACUGGGCGUAAAGGGUGCGCAGGCGGUCUUGUGUGACUGAUGUGAAAUCCCCGGGCUUAACCUGGGAACUGCAUUGGUAACUGCAAGGCUUGAGUGCGGUAGAGGGGGUAGAAUUUUGCGUGUAGCAGUGAAAUGCGUAGAUAUGCAAAGGAAU
rnacentral:rRNA from 1 species